CAGAAUUUGGGGGAACAGGACUCUAGACUGCCUCUAGAGAGAGCUGUAUUGAAGGCCCUGCGACCCAGCACAGAGAAGGGAAUGGUGCUCUAGGUCCCUGCCUCUGCAGAAGACAAAUCCAGGAAGAGAACCAGGAAACUGCAGAGUAGCCAGCCACAUGCGAGAAAAAUCUGAAGGAGACGAAAAUGUUUCAGGAGAAAGGUGAAUACCUGACUCUGAGUCACAGGACGGAACGGAUGGAUAUGUGGUUUUCAUCUGACAAUUUAUUUUUGUGGUGGUUCACUCACUACAGGGCUUUUCAACUGGUGCAUAAUUUAGGUUAAAGUUUCUGAGCAGCUCUGGACUGCAAAAGGGCCUCCCUUCACUGAGCAGAUGUAUAUGACCCCGUGCUUCUCCGAUUCAUACCAAACUUCAGAGAAACUCCGGGAAAGGUUCCUUCUGUAUUUAUGGAUGAGAAUUAUGUGAAGCCUCUACAACCAUCGUAGUUCAUAUCUCCAGAGAGGUAAAGGAAUGCUAACAGAACAAGUCACUGAAAAGGGAGACUUGGCCAGUGACAAUCAGGCUUCUCAGCUUCCACAGUGGCUGCAAACCAGUUUGAGCAGAUUUCUGUUUGGCCCUUUCUCGGGGUAUAAUUUGCAGUGAAGUGCACAAAUCAGUGAAAUUUUACGUAUGCAACCUUUAUCACUCACCACCCAAACCAGAGUGGUGUCUUCCCAACACCCCAGGGCCUCUAGUCCUUUUCCAGCGUUGCCUGAAGACACAAACUACUGAUGGCUGCAUCCACAUGACUGACUUCAAACACAGCACGCUGCAGGAGAAAAGCCGGAUACGCGCGUGGAAAGUGGGUGGCUCCACCACCCUGCUGUUCAGGUUGUUCUAUAAAAACCCAAGAAUAGUUGUUCUUUUUUUCUGACCUAGCUGGUACAAGUGAGUUAGAACGUCCUGAACUUUUGAAGGUGUGCAUGAGGACAUACAAAUCUCGCUGACGGUGGCCAGUGCACUGUGAUCUGCCUGACCGAGGUUCUGGAAAACCAAGCUGCUGACAACUAGGGGUGCAAGAGCAUAAGCGAUGUAAAGAAAUAAAGAAUAAAGUCAACUAAAUUAUGGCAUCUCUCAUUCAAGAGCCUCAUGUGAUG
rnacentral:lncRNA from 1 species